rnacentral:lncRNA from 1 species
UCAUUCACGAAGCCGGUCUAUAAGGUGGGUAUAAGGUUGCGGCCUAUAAAAUGGCGCUUAAUGGGUGUACACUCACACCCACCGCUUGCUUGAUCGGUGGAGGGUCGUUAGCCGAACGGGUAGGAUAGGGCAAACUCUCUCUUCUCAUUAAUAAGUAUAAUGAACAUAUAAAGUAACUAAACUAUUUUCUAAAAUCCCCAAUCCUAGUUACUUUAGGAAAAAUGAAUUGAUGCAAUCCUAUGAAAUUACACUUUGCACCCUUGACUAGAAGUUAGUGGAGCAUGUGUGGUUUACCGGUACUCAAAUUGGUUCUAAGCAUAGGUGGCAAAGGGUGAUUCAUUGUUUAUCAUAGUUCGGUGGAGCGUGUGUGGUUUACCGGCACACUAAUUGGUUCUAAGCAAAGGUGGCAAAGGGUGAUUCAUUGUUUAUCAUAGUUCGAUGGAGCGUGUGUGGUUUACCGGCACAUCGAAUAGGUGAUUGUUACAAUGAAGGCACCAUGUGAAUUUGCAUGGUAAUUCACACCCACUUUGUGAUCCUCGGUAUCCCAGUCACAAACGAGAGGGGCAUAUCGAGAUUUAAACAUGCCAUUGAAAAGUUCAAUGAAUCUCAUCGAAACCUAGGAAUUCUCAAUACAUUUAGAACUUAAGGUUAUGUUUUGUGAUGGAGAAUUAG